rnacentral:rRNA from 1 species
AUGGAAAAGAGCACAAUAGUCAGGUUCACCGCAAAGUUUCUUGUUGUGGCAAGUGGUGAGAAUAGUGCAGAGAAUAUUCCAAUGAUCCCCGGACUGCAAAGUUUUCCGGGUGAUGUCAUCCACUCCUCAAGCUACAAGUCAGGCAAGAGCUACUCUGGCAUGAAUGUAUUGGUUGUUGGAUCUGGCAACUCCGGAAUGGAAAUUGCUUAUGACCUUGUGGCCCAUGGUGCCAAUACUUCAGUUGUUAUACGAAGCCCGAUUCAUGUAGUGACAAAGGAACUAAUCCGGUUGGGGAUGACACUUGCUCGCCGUCUUCCACUGAAUCUAGUGGAUAACCUCCUUGUGAUGGCGGCGAAUUUAAUAUUUGGAGACCUAUCGAGGUAUGGCAUCAGAAGGCCAAAAAUGGGUCCAAUGAUCCUCAAGUAA